UCGUGCUAGGCGGGGGAGUAGCGGCGCCCUGUCGCUCGCAGUUCCGCUCUAGCGAGGCCGAAUCCCCGGUUGCGGGGUUCCGCCUCGGGGUCAGCGCGCCGAUGGCGGUGUCGAUGGUCCGGGUCUCACGCAACGUCGGUCUGUGAACCAGGUCAGGUCCGGAAGGAAGCAGCCUUAAGCGGCCCCCGGCGUGUGCAGUGAGGUAGCC
rnacentral:SRP_RNA from 1 species